rnacentral:tRNA from 1 species
CUGGGAAUAGUUUAAUAAAACACCGGUAUUGGAAGCCGGAGAUUGGUCAGUCCAUUCCUCGA